AUCCUUACCUGGCAGGGGAUUUACCAUGAUGAAAAGGUCAUUUUCCUAGCAUGACGCUCAUUCCCUGAACUUGGGAUGUGUUAACCUCAAUUGCUAGAAACAUGACUACAUAAUUAGUGGUAGUUGGGACCUUGGCCAG
rnacentral:snRNA from 14 species